AUUGAACGCUGGCGGCAUGCCUUACACAUGCAAGUCGAACGGCAGCACGGGAGCAAUCCUGGUGGCGAGUGGCGAACGGGUGAGUAAAGUAUCGGAACGUGCCCAGUCGUGGGGGAUAACGUAGCGAAAGUUACGCUAAUACCGCAUACGAUCUAUGGAUGAAAGCGGGGGAUCGCAAGACCUCGCGCGAUUGGAGCGGCCGAUAUCAGAUUAGGUAGUUGGUGGGGUAAAGGCUCACCAAGCCGACGAUCUGUAGCUGGUCUGAGAGGACGACCAGCCACACUGGGACUGAGACACGGCCCAGACUCCUACGGGAGGCAGCAGUGGGGAAUUUUGGACAAUGGGCGAAAGCCUGAUCCAGCCAUGCCGCGUGCAGGAUGAAGGCCUUCGGGUUGUAAACUGCUUUUGUACGGAACGAAAAGGUUUGGCCUAAUAAGCUGAGCUCAUGACGGUACCGUAAGAAUAAGCACCGGCUAACUUCGUGCCAGCAGCCGCCGCGG
rnacentral:rRNA from 1 species